rnacentral:other from 1 species
GGUAGUCUGUGAUGUUCGCGUCAUUCCAUUUCAGUGUUGACCGAACAUAUUAGUAUUAUUUAGGGAUUCAAAAUGUUCAAAUGGAAAACAAGCCUUUUCACUUGGUAGUUUGAGAGUUGAACUAUGAAACCCACCUGCUUACUAGCGGGUUCAAUACUACGGAGUGACUAACGGCAUCAACGGAUUUCCU